rnacentral:rRNA from 1 species
UACGGGGGGAGCAAGCGUUGUUCGGAUUUACUGGGCGUAAAGGGUGCGUAGGCGGCCUGCUGCGUCGGUGCUGAAAGCGCCCGGCUUAACCGGGCGAGGCGUGCCGAUACGAGCGGGCUGGAGCCUUGGCGAGGGUGGCGGAACUCCUGGUGUAGUGGUGAAAUGCGUAGAGAUCAGGAAGAACACCCGUGGCGCAAGCGGCCACCUGGCCAAGAGCUGACGCUGAGGCACGAGAGCGUGGGGAGCGAACCGG